UACGAAGGGGGCUAGCGUUGUUCGGAUUUACUGGGCGUAAAGCGCACGUAAGCGGAUCGAUCAGUCAGGGGUGAAAUCCCAGAGCUCAACUCUGGAACUGCCUUUGAUACUGUCGAUCUGGAGUAUGGAAGAGGUGAGUGGAAUUCCGAGUGUAGAGGUGAAAUUCGUAGAUAUUCGGAGGAACACCAGUGGCGAAGGCGGCUCACUGGUCCAUUACUGACGCUGAGGUGCGAAAGCGUGGGGAGCAAACAGG
rnacentral:rRNA from 1 species